GGAGAGCCAAGAGAUGAAUCGGUAAUGAGAGGAAAGAGAAACGAGGUGAAGGAAGAGGUCCUGAGUGGGCAUCAGGAGCGCCCGGCCAGGGAUGAAGGAAAGGAUAAAUGCUGCUCUAACGCUACCUCUCUGGUCACUGGAGGGAAGCAGGGGGCUCAGGAGUCUGUUCUCUUCAUGCCUUUACCAGAUCCUGAAUCAGGGUGAGUAACUAAGUGAUUUUCCCCCAAGUACACCAGUCCAUGGGGGUUUGAAACCAG
rnacentral:lncRNA from 1 species